rnacentral:rRNA from 1 species
GGCGGCGUGCCUAAUACAUGCAAGUCGAGCGGAGUUGUUCCUUCGGGAGCAACUUAGCGGCGGACGGGUGAGUAACACGUAGGCAACCUGCCCACAAGCCUGGGAUAACGUCCGGAAACGGAUGCUAAUACCGGAUACGUUGAUUUCUCGCAUGAGGAAUCAUGGAAAGGCGGAGCAAUCUGCCACUUAUGGAUGGGCCUGCGGCGCAUUAGCUAGUUGGUGGGGUAAUGGCUCACCAAGGCGACGAUGCGUAGCCGACCUGAGAGGGUGAUCGGCCACACUGGGACUGAGACACGGCCCAGACUCCUACGGGAGGCAGCAGUAGGGAAUCUUCGGCAAUGGGCGAAAGCCUGACCGAGCAACGCCGCGUGAGUGAAGAAGGCUUUCGGGUCGUAAAACUCUGUUGCCAGAGAAGAACGUCCGGUAGAGUAACUGCUGCCGGAGUGACGGUAUCUGAGAAGAAAGCCCCGGCUAACUACGUGCCAGCAGCCGCGG